CGUGUACCUUUCAGACGAAUUCAGUGAACGUUGGAUGAAUCACUGUAACUCGGUCAAUCUUUCUGAGACAACACUUGAAGCACAGUUCAGACACAUGAAGGAACACACAAAGAGCUCGAAGAUUCAGCAAUACGGAGAUUUGACUCUUUUACAAGAGAAGCUGAUCUGCUUCCAAGGAACCUCUUCUCUUCCACCAGCGGCUCGUCCACCAGCGGCUCGUCCACC